GGCAUGGUGGUUUAGUGCUUAGCACGUUUGGCUCCAUCUCCAAGGUUGGGGGUUCGAUUCCUGCCUCUGCCC